rnacentral:rRNA from 1 species
AUACUUGGGGAAGUGAAACAUCUCAGUACCCAAAGGAAAAGAGACCAAUAGGAAUUUCCUUAGUAGCGGCGAGCGAAAAGGAAAGAGCCCAAACCAGUCGUUCUUCACUGUGUUUAGAACGAAAUUUCUAAUUUCUAAUUUCUAAUUUCUAAACAAUGACAAAAUUUAUCAAUGAGUAAAUGUUUAAAACAUUGAAAAUUGAAACAUUGAAAAUUGUUUGAAAAUUGAAAAUUGAGAAUUGAAAAUUCGUCUCUGAGCGUAGCGAAGAGCGACUGGGGUUGUAGGAUAACAAAGUCUAUUCUUCGGAACAGAAGAAGUUACAAAAUAUGAUGUUAGUUGAAUUAGCUGGGAAGCUAAACUCAAAAGGGUAAUAGUCCCGUAAACGAAAACAUUAUGUCUUCUUAUUUGUUACUCCUGAGUAGUCCAAGACACGAAUAGCUUGGAUGAAUCCGCCAGUACUAACUGGCAAGGCUAAAUACUUUUAGAGAUCGAUAGUGAACAAGUACCGUGAGGGAAAGGUGAAAAGAACCCCGGAGAGGGGAGUGAAAUAGAUCUGAAACCAUAUGCUUACAAGGAGUCGGAGCGGUUAUCACAUAGAGUGUGAUAACUAGUUAAAAGUUCAUAAAGUUUGUAAAGUUCAUAAAGUCAGAAAAAUUUGCGAAGCAAAUUUUUCUCUUUCAACUUUCAACUUUUAACUUUAUAAACUAGGUUAUCGUGCUUUGCGCGAUGACCGUCACGGCGUUCCUAUUGAAGAAUGAGCCAACGAGUCGAAGUGUGCAGCUGCCUAAGAGGAAAAACCUUGAAGGCAUAGCGAAAGCGAGUGUUAAUAGCGCGAAAUAAUAGUUGUAUGCUUCGGACCCGAAGCCAAGUGAUCUUGCCAUGAGCAGGGUGAAGGUAGUGGAAACACUACUGGAGGCCCGAACCGGUUGGUCGUUCAACUCCAUCGGAUGACUUGUGGUAAGCAGUGAAAAGCUAAUCGAACUUGGUAAUAGCUGGUUCUCUCCGAAAUAGCUUUAGGGUUAGCGUUUGAUGUUCCUGUUGGGGGUAGAGCACUGGAAGGACUGAAUAGGGGGAAACCUCGUCAAUCCUAUCAAACUCCGAAUACCAACAGUUAAAAGUCAGGCAGUUAGACUGUGGGGGCUAAGCUCCAUUGGUCGAAAGGGAAACAGCCCAGACCUAUAUUUAAGGUCCCUAAAUUCAUACUAAGUGCACUUAAGGAGGUGAAAUUUCUCAGACAAUGAGGAGGUUGGCUUAGAAGCAGCCAUCCUUUAAAGAUAGCGUAACAGCUCACUCAUCAAGAGAUUUUGCACCGCAGAUUAUCGGGGCUAAGUAUGGUACCGAAAAUUAGGGCUUGUGCAAAGCACAAGCGAGUUAAAAGUUUAUAAAGUCCAUAAAGUCUAUAAAGUAAAAAAAUUUGCAAAGCAAAUUUUUUUCUUUCGACUUUCGACUUUCGACUUUUUGACUUGCUCGUGCUUUGCAUGAGCGGUAGGAGAGUAUUCUGUUCUGCGAUGAAGCCGAAGGCGCGAGCCACGGUGGAGCGUACAGAAGCAAGAAUGUUGGCACGAGUAACCGCAAUACAGGUGAGAUCCCUGUACGCCGAAAGACUAAGGGUUCCUUCGCAAUGUUAAUCAGCGAAGGGUUAGUCGGUCCUAAGGAGAUGGUGAAAACCGAAUCCGAUGGACACAUGGUUAAUAUUCCAUGACUUCUUUAUUUUGCGAUGGGAGGACGGAGGACAUAAGCAAUAGCGCAUUAUUGGAUUUGCGUUGUCUAUUUUAAAGAGUGUAUCUUAGGUAAAUCCGGGAUAUGGCCUUCGGGCAAGCUCUGGAAAUCGACAAAAUUUCUUUCUACGGAAAGAGAAAUUGUUGUGAAGAGCCUUCCAAGAAAAUUCUCUAAGCUCAAAAAUAAAGGAACCGUACCCUAAACCGACACAGGUAGUCAGGUCGAGAAGACCAAGGCGAACGAGUGAUUUUUCUCCAAGGAACUCGGCAAAAAAGCGAUCGUAACUUCGGAAUAAGAUCUGCCAUACCAUAGCUUGCUAUGGAUUGGCCGCAGCGAAAGUAGCCCUGCCGACUGUUUAUCAAAAACACAGCUCUCUGCGAACACGUAAGUGGAUGUAUAGAGGGUGACGCCUGACCAAUGCCAGAAGGUUAAAUACGGGGGGUAUGUACAUCACAUUGCAUGUGAUGUACUAGUCAAAAGUUCAUAAAGUCCAUAAAGUUAAAAGUCAGAAAAAUUUGCUUCGCAAAUUUUUCCCUUUCGACUUUCGACUUUACAGACUUUCGACUGGUACAUCGCGCGUAGCGUGAUGUACAUGCUGGACUGUAUAAGCCCUGGUGAAUGUCGGCCGUAACUAUAACGGUCCUAAGGUUGUGUAUCCAAAUUUAUUUGGCCACACAAAGACUAGGACUGUUAUGGAAUAUGAGCGUUCGUGCUCUAAAAUAUAAAAGGAAUAAAGUUGCCUAUUUUAUAAAUUUAAUUUUAUAAUUUGUCUAUAAAUAUCUAGCCAUAUGCUGGAAAAUCCGUGUAUCUGACAAUACUCAUUAUGAUUUAAUUAUCAUAGUAGUGAAAAUUUGCUCAGUGCGGACAAUCAGCAGGAAAUUCACCUUAGGUGAAGAUCCUCAGAGACUAAACGCUAGAAUAAGUUUUUAACUUAUAAAUUAUAGUCCGAACUGCAUAGCGAUAUGUAGAGACAAACAGAAAUGAUUUGUCCAUCUGCCUAAGGCAGAAAGUAACAAAAUGAGCGAAAUUCCUUGUCUGGUAAGUUCAGACGUGCACGAAUGGCGUAACGAGUGGGGCACUGUCUCGGAGAAUAGCUCGGUGAAAAUGCAAUACCGGUGAAGACGCCGGUUACCUGCAGCUAGACGAAAAGACCCCAGGAGCUUUACUAUAGCUUGGUAUUGGGUGUAUGUUUUGACUGCGUAGCAUAGGUGGGAGGCUUUGAAGGGAUCCUUUUGGGGAUUCUGGAGCCGUCAGUGAAAUACCACUCUUUGAAAAUAUACAUUCUAAUCUCUACGGCAAAAACGGAGAGAGACAGUGCCUGGCGGGUAGUUUUAGUGGGGCGCUAUCCUCCUAAAAAGUAACGGAGGAGUUUAAAGGUUGGCUAAGCGCGAAUGGAAACCGUGCUGAUAGUGUAAUGGCACAAGCCAGCUUAACUGCAAGACGUACGUG